UGCGUCCGGGCAGAGCUGCAGCGGCCGCGGCGGGCACCAGAGUGCCGAGCCCAGCAAACCCCGGCCCAGGCCCGCGGGUGGACAGGUCCUCCUCCCCUCGCCGGACUCUGUGGAGGAGUGAUGGGCAGAACCGGCGCAUCCCUCAGGCACUAGACCUGUCACGAGUGGACUCAGUUCCCUCCCACCCUGCUUCACUCUACCCCAAGAACACCGAUCUGUUUGCGAUGAUUGAAAAGAUGCAGGGAAGCAGGAUGGAUGAACAGCGAUGCUCCUUCCCACCUCCCCUCAAAACGGAGGAAGACUACAUUCCCUACCCGAGUGUCCACGAGGUACCCAGUUGGAUUCUGAGCCCACCCUUCCCUUCGUCCUGGGGAGGUCCUCAUGCAGGCCAUCUGGACACCCAGGUCCUAGGGCGAGAAGGGCCCUUCCCCCUCAUCCUGCUGCCCCAGUUUGGGGGCUACUGGAUCGAAGGCACCAACCACGAAAUCACCAGCAUUCCUGAGACAGAACCGCUGCAGUCGCCCACGACCAAGGUGAAGCUCGAGUGCAACCCCACGGCCCGCAUCUACCGGAAGCACUUUCUUGGCAAGGAGCAUUUCAAUUACUACUCACUGGACACUGCCCUCGGCCACCUGGUCUUCUCACUCAAGUAUGAUGUCAUCGGGGAUCAGGAGCACCUGCGGCUGCUGCUCAGGACUAAGUGCCGGACGUACCAUGAUGUCAUCCCCAUCUCCUGCCUCACCGAGUUUCCCAAUGUGGUCCAGAUGGCCAAGCUGGUGUGUGAAGAUGUCAAUGUGGAUCGAUUCUACCCUGUGCUCUACCCCAAGGCUUCCCGGCUCAUCGUCACCUUUGAUGAACAUGUUAUCAGCAAUAACUUCAAGUUUGGAGUCAUUUAUCAGAAGCUUGGACAGACCUCCGAGGAAGAGCUCUUCAGCACCAAUGAGGAAAGCCCUGCCUUCGUGGAGUUCCUUGAAUUUCUGGGCCAGAAGGUCAAACUGCAGGACUUCAAGGGGUUCCGAGGAGGCCUGGACGUGACCCACGGGCAGACGGGGACCGAGUCUGUGUACUGCAACUUCCGCAACAAGGAGAUCAUGUUUCACGUGUCCACCAAGCUGCCCUACACAGAAGGGGACGCCCAGCAGUUGCAGCGGAAGAGGCACAUCGGGAACGACAUCGUCGCCGUGGUCUUCCAGGACGAGAACACACCCUUUGUGCCGGACAUGAUCGCGUCCAACUUCCUGCACGCCUACGUGGUAGUGCAGGCCGAGGGGGGCGGCCCCGACGGGCCCUUCUACAAGGUCUCGGUCACCGCGAGAGAUGACGUGCCCUUCUUUGGGCCCCCUCUGCCGGACCCUGCUGUGUUCAGGAAGGGGCCUGAGUUCCAGGAAUUUUUGCUGACAAAGCUGAUCAAUGCUGAAUAUGCUUGCUACAAGGCAGAGAAGUUUGCCAAGCUGGAGGAGCGGACCCGUGCUGCCCUCCUGGAGACGCUGUAUGAGGAACUCCACAUCCACAGCCAGUCCAUGAUGGGCCUGGGCGGUGACGAGGACAAGAUGGAAAACGGAGGUGGCGGAGGCGGUUUCUUUGAGUCUUUCAAGCGGGUCAUCCGGAGCCGCAGCCAGUCCAUGGAUGCCAUGGGGCUGAGCAACAAGAAGCCCAACACCGUAUCCACCAGCCACAGCGGGAGCUUCACCCCCAACAACCCUGACCUGGCCAAGGCAGCUGGCAUAUCAUUGCUUAUUCCUGGGAAAAGUGCAAGUAGAUUCGGACGCCGGGGCAGUGCCAUAGGCAUAGGAACCGUGGAAGAGUCUCUGAUCGUCCCUGGGAAGAGCCCCACAAGGAAGAAGUCAGGCCCGUUUGGCUCCCGCCGCAGCAGCGCCAUCGGCAUCGAGAACAUCCAGGAGGUGCAGGAGAAGAGGGAGAGCCCUCCAGCUGGCCAGAAGACCCCGGACAGCGGGCACGUUUCGCAGGAGCCCAAGUCGGAGAACUCAUCCACUCAGAGCUCCCCAGAGAUGCCCACAGCCAAGAACAGAGCGGAGACAGCAGCCCAGAGAGCAGAGGUGCUGAAGGACUUUUCCCGCUCCUCGUCCAGUGCCAGCAGUUUCGCCAGUGUGGUGGAGGAGACGGAGGGCGUGGACGGGGAGGACACAGGCCUGGAGAGCGUGUCAUCGUCAGGGACGCCCCACAAGCGGGACUCCUUCCUCUACAGCACAUGGCUGGAGGACAGUGUCAGCACCACCAGCGGUGGCAGCUCCCCAGUGAGGUGGCUCCCUCCUGCCCCCCUCCCCAGGCCUCUCCCGGUCACCCCACCCAGACGCCGGCAAGGUGGGGGACCCUGCGUGUCCCGAGAUCAAGAUCCAACUGGAGUCGUCUGAGCCACACACUCCCCAGCUGGGCUGUUAGCCGGCCACCCGGGAAGUGGAGCUGAGCAGAUGAGGCCACAGAAGCACAAGGUGAAGAGGCUGUGUCACAUCCAGGCAGCCAGGACCUCCGCCCUGAAGGCCAACCCCAGCCUGGCGUCCCCUGCUUCCCACUUCCCCUCGGCCCACUCCGCAGGGCGGAGCCUCCCAGACCUGGGGCCGGGAAGCUGCUGGCAUCGUCCCCACGGCCCAGGCUGGGGGUCUGGCCUCGGCCGGGGAAGGGUCGGCGGAAGCAGGACUGCAGGCCUGGCUUGCCCCACCCUGGGUCUCCAUCACCCCAGCUGCCCCUCUGGAUCAGGGGAGCAAGGUGGGCGAGGGAGGCCAGAGCUCCACGGGCAGCGCUGACUGUGGAGGUGGGGGGGGUGAGGGCGUGGAGCGAGCACUGGGCCGGCGUCCCGGCUUCUGAUUCAGGUUCUGCUGUGUGGCUCUGAGCAAGUCCCUCUCCUCUGGUUGUUUCUGCCACAAGUGGACAGGAUUCUUUCAGAGGUCACUGGAGACCGUGAUUCUGUGCACCUGGCCCACACAGGGGAUUGUGCCCCUGGGGCUUCCCAUCUCACUGCCCUGCUUCUUGAGGUCCCCGAAGCCCCAGGUGGGCUGAGGGCCUGGGAGCUGGUUGUGCCCACUGCCCCACCUGGACCCCGGAGCUUCACCACAGAUCUGCCAAUGCCCUUCCACUGCCUACACGUGACAGACCGGUGACCUCUCCUGGAGGAAGGGGACCCACCUGGCUCCUCAGCCAGCGCCCAGCUUAACCCCUGCACCUGCCGCUCCUGGGCACUCUGGGCCGAGGGGUCUCCACCCGCCUGGAGUCGCAGGCCUCUCCAGCCCCGACGCUGGAGGGGCAGCCAGGCACAGCUGCUGUGCGCCCACGUCCUUGUGUGUGUCUGUCCACACUUUUUAGGCGCCAUGCCAAAGGCCAGCCUUCUGGCCCCACCCCCACUUUGGAAGCCCCGUGGCCACGUGUAUGUCGGUAACAGUUGUACAAAAUAAAUUCUAUUUAUCGCUAUUGUA